rnacentral:lncRNA from 1 species
UGAUGAAGAGCUUGAUACUCUCAUCAAAGGAACUAUUGCUGGUGGUGGUGUCAUUCCUCACAUCCACAAGUCUCUCAUCAACAAAUCUGGCCAAGAGUAGCUUUUGUCUCUGUCUCUCGAACCUUUUUGCUUAAAUAUAAUCGUUUGUGUGUUAAGACAUUAGUAGAGAGAAAACUCUUGGGAGAUUGUUUGUUUUGUUAAAGACUCACGUGUGACUUGUUUGUUGGCUCUUGUUUCUGAUUUAAUGUUUUGGUGUUUGUUCAUAUGAAAACAGUUGCAUAAGUUUUCUAAUCUUUUUUUUUUCUUCCGGCUAAAAUUUUAUUUAUAUCAAUAUGGUUUAUAAAACACAUUACAUGGAUAAUCAACUUUCUACAAAUACAUUUUCAAAAACCUGAAACUGAAAAAAAGUAAUAACACGAAGCUAACUAACUCAAUUGCAUCAAUCGCAACAUAAUAUUUGAUCACAUGAUAGAACAAAUGCAAUAUUAUGAAGAGGUUGGUCUAGAAUUUGACAGCUCUUUUGAUUGUUUGGAAAGAUGACUUGAUGAAGUUGUUCUUAACGAGAUACUCGUUCUCUUCAUCGUGACCUGAGACCACAGGCUUCUUCCUGACGAGGUCAUUUCCCUUUUUCAUUCCGAAGAAGAGUGAAGGAGAUGAUGGGAUCCUUCUGAAAGCUCUAGCACUCUCUGACCUCUUCACCACUGAACCACCCUUGUCCUGUAAAUAUGUCAUCUUCUUUCCAGGCUCCAUCAACACUACUCGCUCUUCUCGUGCUGGUCUUCAGGUUUCUCUCUCUCUCUCUCUCUCUUGGGAUGUGUGAACCGUAUAAGUGACGGAUCUGUAAGGUUCUGAUGUAGAUUAUAAUAGUCUAGAGAUGGAGUUGAGUUUAUCCUCUCUGUUUUAGUUUCCUGAGAUUUUUCUCCAUAGAUUUUGACGAUAAAAUGAACUGUGUAGAAGGUUAGACAAUAAAGUACUAUCCAUAUUUAAUGAUACUGUUGAAUCUUUAUGUCUUUAAAAACGACAAAAAGUACAUGUUUCUCUGUCCCUUGUUUGCAGUUUCCAGUUGGGAGAGUCCAUAGACUAUUGAAAGGAAGGUCAACCGCUCACGGACGCGUUGGCGCAACCGCAGCGGUUUACACAGCCGCUAUUUUGGAGUAUCUAACCGCGGAAGUCCUGGAGCUGGCUGGCAACGCGAGCAAGGAUCUGAAAGUGAAGCGUAUCACACCGAGGCAUCUGCAGCUUGCUAUUCGCGGUGAUGAAGAGCUUGAUACUCUCAUCAAAGGAACGAUUGCUGGUGGUGGUGUCAUUCCUCACAUUCACAAGUCCCUCAUCAACAAAUCUGGCCAAGAGUAGCUUUUGUCUCUGUCUCUCGAACCUUUUUGCUUAAAUAAUCGUUUAUGUGUUAAGACAUUAGUAGAGAGAAAACUCUUGGGAGAUUGUUUGUUUUGUUAAAGACUCACGUGUGACUUGUUGCUCUUGUUUCUGAUUUAAUGUUUUUG